UACGUAGGGUGCGAGCGUUGUCCGGAAUUAUUGGGCGUAAAGAGCUCGUAGGCGGUUUGUCGCGUCGGCCGUGAAAACUCGGGGCUUAACCCCAAGCCUGCGGUCGAUACGGGCAGACUUGAGUUCGGCAGGGGAGACUGGAAUUCCUGGUGUAGCAGUGAAAUGCGCAGAUAUCAGGAGGAACACCGGUGGCGAAGGCGGGUCUCUGGGCCGAUACUGACGCUGAGGAGCGAAAGCGUGGGGAGCGAACAGG
rnacentral:rRNA from 1 species